AGAGUUUGAUCAUGGCUCAGAUUGAACGCUGGCGGCAUGCUUUACACAUGCAAGUCGAGCGGCAGCGCGGGGGCAACCCUGGCGGCGAGCGGCGAACGGGUGAGUAAUACAUCGGAACGUGUCCCGUAGUGGGGGAUAGCUCGGCGAAAGCCGGAUUAAUACCGCAUAUGCUCUACGGAGGAAAGCGGGGGACCUGCAAGGCCUCGCGCUAUGGGAGCGGCCGAUGUCCGAUUAGCUUGUUGGUGAGGUAAAGGCUUACCAAGGCGACGAUCGGUAGCUGGUCUGAGAGGAUGAUCAGCCACACUGGGACUGAGACACGGCCCAGACUCCUACGGGAGGCAGCAGUGGGGAAUUUUGGACAAUGGGGGAAACCCUGAUCCAGCCAUGCCGCGUGCGGGAAGAAGGCCUUCGGGUUGUAAACCGCUUUUGUCCGGAAAGAAAAGGUGUCUCCUAAUACGGGACGCUCUUGACGGUACCGGAAGAAUAAGCACCGGCUAACUACGUGCCAGCAGCCGCGGUAAUACGUAGGGUGCGAGCGUUAAUCGGAAUUACUGGGCGUAAAGCGUGCGCAGGCGGUUCGUUAAGUCUGAUGUGAAAGCCCCGGGCUCAACCUGGGAAUGGCAUUGGAAACUAGCGGGCUCGAGUGUGGCAGAGGGGGGUGGAAUUCCACGUGUAGCAGUGAAAUGCGUAGAGAUGUGGAGGAACACCGAUGGCGAAGGCAGCCCCCUGGGCUAACACUGACGCUCAGGCACGAAAGCGUGGGGAGCAAACAGGAUUAGAUACCCUAGUAGUCC
rnacentral:rRNA from 1 species